ACCCGCUGGAACUAGCAUAUCAUAGCGGAGAAAAGAAACUAACAAGGAUUCCCCUAGUAACUGCGAGUGAAGCGGGAAAAGCUCAAAUUUAAAAUCUGGCAGUCUUUGGCUGUCCGAGUUGUAAUCUAGAGAAGUAUUAUCCGCGCUGGACCGUGUACAAGUCUCCUGGAAUGGAGCGUCAUAGAGGGUGAGAAUCCCGUCUUUGACACGGAUUGCCAGGGCUUUGUGAUGUGCUCUCGAAGAGUCGAGUUGUUUGGGAAUGCAGCUCAAAAUGGGUGGUAAAUUCCAUCUAAAGCUAAAUAUUGGCGAGAGACCGAUAGCGAACAAGUACCGUGAGGGAAAGAUGAAAAGAACUUUGGAAAGAGAGUUAAACAGUACGUGAAAUUGCUGAAAGGGAAACGCUUGAAGUCAGUCGCGUUGGCCAGGGAUCAACCUUGCUUUUUUGCUUGGCUUACUUUCUGGUCGAUGGGUCAGCAUCAAUUUUGACUGGUGGAAAAAGUUCAAGGGAAUGUGGCAUCUUCGGAUGUGUUAUAGCCUUUGUUCAUAUAUAUCAGUUGGGAUUGAGGAACUCAGCACGCCGCAAGGCCGGGUUUUUAACCACGUACGUGCUUAGGAUGCUGGCAUAAUGGCUUUAAUCGACCCGUCUUGAAACACGGACCAAGGAGUCUAACAUGCCUGCRAGUGUUUGGGUGAAAAACCCGAGCGCGUAAUGAAAGUGAAAGUUGAGAUCCCUGUCGUGGGGAGCAUUGACGCCCGGAUCUGACCUUUUGUGACGAUUCUGCGGUAGAGCAUGUAUGUUGGGACCCGAAAGAUGGUGAACUAUGCCUGAAUAGGGUGAAGCCAGAGGAAACUCUGGUGGAGGCUCGUAGCGAUUCUGACGUGCAAAUCGAUCGUCAAAUUUGGGUAUAGGGGCGAAAGACUAAUCGAACCAUCAAAU
rnacentral:rRNA from 1 species